rnacentral:rRNA from 1 species
GAUGAACGCUGACAGAAUGCUUAACACAUGCAAGUCAACUUGAAUUUGGGUUUUUAACUUAGGUUUGGGUGGCGGACGGGUGAGUAACGCGUAAAGAACUUGCCUCACAGCUAGGGACAACAUUUGGAAACGAAUGCUAAUACCUAAUAUUAUGAUAAUAGGGCAUCCUAUAAUUAUGAAAGCUAUAAGCGCUGUGAGAGAGCUUUGCGUCCCAUUAGCUAGUUGGAGAGGUAACGGCUCACCAAGGCGAUGAUGGGUAGCCGGCCUGAGAGGGUGAUCGGCCACAAGGGGACUGAGACACGGCCCUUACUCCUACGGGAGGCAGCAGUGGGGAAUAUUGGACAAUGGACCAAGAGUCUGAUCCAGCAAUUCUGUGUGCACGAUGAAGUUUUUCGGAAUGUAAAGUGUUUUCAGUUGGGAAGAAAGAAAUGACGGUACCAACAGAAGAAGUGACGGCUAAAUACGUGCCAGCAGCCGCGGUAAUACGUAUGUCACGAGCGUUAUCCGGAUUUAUUGGGCGUAAAGCGCGUCUAGGUGGUUAUGUAAGUCUGAUGUGAAAAUGCAGGGCUCAACUCUGUAUUGCGUUGGAAACUGUAUAACUAGAGUACUGGAGAGGUAAGCGGAACUACAAGUGUAGAGGUGAAAUUCGUAGAUAUUUGUAGGAAUGCCGAUGGGGAAGCCAGCUUACUGGACAGAUACUGACGCUGAAGCGCGAAAGCGUGGGUAGCAAACAGG